CGAGUGGCGAACGGUGAGUAAUAUAUCGGAACGUGCCCAGUCGUGGGGGAUAACGUAGCGAAAGCUACGCUAAUACCGCAUACGAUCUAUGGAUGAAAGCGGGGAUCGCAAGACCUCGCGCGAUUGGAGCGGCCGAUAUCAGAUUAGGUAGUUGGUGAGGUAAAGGCUCACCAAGCCGACGAUCUGUAGCUGGUCUGAGAGGACGACCAGCCACACUGGGACUGAGACACGGCCCAGACUCCUACGGGAGGCAGCAGUGGGGAAUUUUUGGACAAUGGGCGCCAAGCCCUGAUCCAGCAAUGCCGCGUGCAGGAUGAAGGCCUUCGGGUUGUAAACUGCUUUUGUACGGAACGAAACGGUGAGCUCUAAUACAGUUUGCUAAUGACGGUACCGUAAGAAUAAGCACCGGCUAACUACGUG
rnacentral:rRNA from 1 species